AGAUAAUCCCGGGCGACCGGGGAAAGGUUGGGUCAGGCUGAUUGACCCCGCCCCUCUGAAACGAAAUUGAAAGAUUUGGUGGAGAGGCAGGAUUCACCGGUUUCUCUGGCAGGUUCGCGCCUGUCAGUAACGCGAAAGACGAAACCGGGCGGAUAGGAACGAUUAGAAACCGUUCCGAACCAGAUCAAGUAGUUCGGGCAAGUUUCGAGCCUGAACGAAUCGCAGUUGCCAAAAGGCAUCGGUUGCUACUGCGCAUCAGCACGGAUGGAUGACUCUGGCGGUCGUGAAAAACGAUCAGCCAAAUCAAAAACGCCGAAAGGCGGCACAAAGUGAGCAUCCAGACCGGGAAGGACACAAAGACUUGGCAGGUCAUGUGAAAACCUUCCGCAAGCGGCGGCGUUAAAAACAACACCGCUGCAUUGUGAAAAGAAAGCGACCUGCGAGUGAAGAGGCGAGACCCGUGGCCUCGGGCGAACGCACCGUCAAAAGCGGUGGCUGACCCGAAGCUAACGGUCAAGACGCGAACAAAGAAAACACAAGCGUGUCUUGACCUGGUUCGCAAGCUGGUGCUGCAAACAUCGGCCCAAGCGAGCUGAAAAGCCUCACUCAAAAUCCGGACGCCGCAAGGUGCUGGACGGCCCUGCUACGAGGCCGAUAACUCCGCUUGCCGUGGAGAAUGGCGUCGGGAAACCGGCAGCCCCCAACAAGGGUUGUGCGCCUAAUGCCGGUUCGGGAAAGAGAGUGUGGCGAACUCC
rnacentral:sRNA from 12 species